GGGGAUUUAGCUCAGUGGUAGAGUACUUGCCUAGCAAGUGAAAGGUUCAGUCCCCA
rnacentral:tRNA from 1 species